rnacentral:rRNA from 1 species
AUCAGUAAGCGGUGGAAAGCAAACUAAACAGGAUUCUCUUAGUAACUGCGAGUGAACAGAGAUUAGCCCAACAUCGAAGCCACCAUGCAUUUGUAUGGGAGGCAAUGUGAUGUUUUGGUGUUUGAACGCACUGUCUGGCUAACUUGAAGUCCAUAUUUGACUGUGGCUUGUAUUUAUACACCCAGAGAUGGUGAUAGGCCCGUUCAGGUUGGUAUUCUGGCAUGACAGUUCAGUGUGUAAUCAUUCAUCAUAGAGUCGGAUUGCUUGAGAGUGCAGUCCAAAAUGGGUGGUAAACUCCAUCUAAGGCUAAAUACCUGUACGAGUCCGAUAGUCAACAAGUACCGUGAGGGAAAGUUGAAAAGUACUCUGAAGAGAGAGUAAAUAGUACGUGAAACCACAUGGAGGUUAAACAAAUAGAGUCAAGCUGCUUGCAUCAUAUCAUUGCAAUAUGCGCAUUUUGUUGCAUGACAUUUGCCGGGACCUGGCGUGUGAUUCUGUCUACUUGUAGGCAUUUGAACAUGUGUUUGUUGUUGAAAGGUCUCGGUGAGUGUCUGCGCUUAUUGUUCAUGAUGGGUGCUAAUGCCAUAGUCGGUUGUACUACCAGUGCGCAGUAAUCGGCGAUUGUGCGGGCUGACUUAUUGUCGUUCGUGCAAUCAGUGAAACAGUUGGCAACAGUGUGUGCUUGCAUUCGCUUUUGUCAAAGAAGGCCACGGCCUGUUGAUUACUGUGAACAUUGUGAGAGUCGACCGUUCAUAUGUGCUCAUAUAAUUUGUGGUAGUAAGUCGACUUGUCGACUACUUCCAUAAAUGAGCUUAUGAGCUAUGGUAUUGUGGAGAACUUUCUAUUUG